AAUUGGGAAUUACGAGAAAAAUGAGGGAAAAAUUGGGGGAAAACGGGGGAAAAUUGGGAAAAAACUGGGAAUUUUUGAAAAAAGGGGGAAAAAAUUGGGGAAAAUUUGGAAAAAAUGAGGGAAAAUUGGGAAUUUUGGAAAAAUGGGGGGAAAUUAGGGAAAAUUUGGGAAAAAUGGGGGAAAAAUUGGGGAAAAAAUGGUAAAAAUUAGGGAAAAAAUUGGGGAAAAUUUGGGAAAAAUGGGGGAAAAUUGGCAAUUUUGGAUAAAAUGAAGGAAAAAUUGGGGGAAAAAUGGGAAUUUUGGGAAAAAUGAGGGAAUAAUUGGGGAAAAUCGGGAAUUUUGGGAAAAUUUGGGGAAAAAAUGGGGGAAAAUGGGGAAAAAUUGGGGGAAAAUUUACCUGGUAGACCUGAACAGGGGAGCUCUGGGAUCCAUAGGAUGUAUGGGAUCCAUAGGAUGUAUAGGAUCCAUGGGAUCCAUGGGAUCAAUGGGAUCCAUGGAAUCCAUGGGAUCCAUAGGUGAGCUCAGGUGUCUAUAGGAUCAUUGGGAUGUAUGGAAUCCAUAGGUCUCACCCUCUCCUCGUGCAGCCCCAGGUGGUGCACAGGGGAUCCAUGGGAUCCAUGGGAUGUAUGGAAUUCAUGGGAUCCAUGGGUGAGCUCAGGGAUGUAUAGGAUCAAUGGGACGUAUGGAAUCCAUAGGUCUCACCCUCUCCUCGUGCAGCCCCAGGUGAUGCGCCGCCAGCAUCCGCAUCCCCAGGCGCGACGUCAGCGUCUGGUCCAGGAACGGCCGCAGCAGCCGCGGGUCCUGACACGCCAACGACACGCCAACGACACGGCAACGACAUGGAAAGGACAUGUGAGACACGUGAGACACGUGAGAGACGGGAAUGACACGGGAAGGACAUGGAAAGGACACAUGAGACACACGUGAGAGACGGGAACGACACGGGAACGACAUGGAAAGGACACGUGAGACACGUGAGAGACGGGAAUGACACGGAAAUGACAUGGAAAGGACACAUGAGACACACGUGAGAGACGGGAACGACACGGGAACGACAUGGAAAGGACACGUGAGACACGUGAGACACACGAGAGACGGGAACGACACGGGAACGACAUGGAAAGGACACGUGAGACACGUGAGACACAUGAGACAUGGGAAUGACACAGGAACAACAUGGGAAGGACACAGGAGGGACACGGGAAGGACAUGGGAAAAACACGGGAAGGACACGGGAACG
rnacentral:lncRNA from 1 species